rnacentral:rRNA from 1 species
GACGAACGCUGGCGGCGUGCUUAACACAUGCAAGUCGAACGGAAAGGCCCUGCUUUUGUGGGGUGCUCGAGUGGCGAACGGUGAGUAACACGUGAGUAACCUGCCCUUGACUUUGGGAUAACUUCAGGAAACUGGGGCUAAUACCGGAUAGGAGCUCCUGCUGCAUGGUGGGGGUUGGAAAGUUUCGGCGGUUGGGGAUGGACUCGCGGCUUAUCAGCUUGUUGGUGGGGUAGUGGCUUACCAAGGCUUUGACGGGUAGCCGGCCUGAGAGGGUGACCGGCCAUAUUGGGACUGAGAUACGGCCCAGACUCCUACGGGAGGCAGCAGUGGGGAAUAUUGCACAAUGGGCGGAAGCCUGAUGCAGCAACGCCGCGUGCGGGAUGACGGCCUUCGGGUUGUAAACCGCUUUCGCCUGUGACGAAGCGUGAGUGACGGUAAUGGGUAAAGAAGCACCGGCUAACUACGUG